UUAAGCGACUAAGCGUACACGGUGGAUGCCCUGGCAGUCAGAGGCGAUGAAGGACGUGCUAAUCUGCGAUAAGCGUCGGUAAGGUGAUAUGAACCGUUAUAACCGGCGAUUUCCGAAUGGGGAAACCCAGUGUGUUUCGACACACUAUCAUUAACUGAAUCCAUAGGUUAAUGAGGCGAACCGGGGGAACUGAAACAUCUAAGUACCCCGAGGAAAAGAAAUCAACCGAGAUUCCCCCAGUAGCGGCGAGCGAACGGGGAGCAGCCCAGAGCCUGAAUCAGUGUGUGUGUUAGUGGAAGCGUCUGGAAAGGCGCGCGAUACAGGGUGACAGCCCCGUACACAAAAAUGCACAUGCUGUGAGCUCGAUGAGUAGGGCGGGACACGUGGUAUCCUGUCUGAAUAUGGGGGGACCAUCCUCCAAGGCUAAAUACUCCUGACUGACCGAUAGUGAACCAGUACCGUGAGGGAAAGGCGAAAAGAACCCCGGCGAGGGGAGUGAAAAAGAACCUGAAACCGUGUACGUACAAGCAGUGGGAGCACGCUUAGGCGUGUGACUGCGUACCUUUUGUAUAAUGGGUCAGCGACUUAUAUUCUGUAGCAAGGUUAACCGAAUAGGGGAGCCGAAGGGAAACCGAGUCUUAACUGGGCGUUAAGUUGCAGGGUAUAGACCCGAAACCCGGUGAUCUAGCCAUGGGCAGGUUGAAGGUUGGGUAACACUAACUGGAGGACCGAACCGACUAAUGUUGAAAAAUUAGCGGAUGACUUGUGGCUGGGGGUGAAAGGCCAAUCAAACCGGGAGAUAGCUGGUUCUCCCCGAAAGCUAUUUAGGUAGCGCCUCGUGAAUUCAUCUCCGGGGGUAGAGCACUGUUUCGGCAAGGGGGUCAUCCCGACUUACCAACCCGAUGCAAACUGCGAAUACCGGAGAAAGAUAUCACGGGAGACACACGGCGGGUGCUAACGUCCGUCGUGAAGAGGGAAACAACCCAGACCGCCAGCUAAGGUCCCAAAGUCAUGGUUAAGUGGGAAACGAUGUGGGAAGGCCCAGACAGCCAGGAUGUUGGCUUAGAAGCAGCCAUCAUUUAAAGAAAGCGUAAUAGCUCACUGGUCGAGUCGGCCUGCGCGGAAGAUGUAACGGGGCUAAACCAUGCACCGAAGCUGCGGCAGCGACACUAUGUGUUGUUGGGUAGGGGAGCGUUCUGUAAGCCUGUGAAGGUGUACUGUGAGGUAUGCUGGAGGUAUCAGAAGUGCGAAUGCUGACAUAAGUAACGAUAAAGCGGGUGAAAAGCCCGCUCGCCGGAAGACCAAGGGUUCCUGUCCAACGUUAAUCGGGGCAGGGUGAGUCGACCCCUAAGGCGAGGCCGAAAGGCGUAGUCGAUGGGAAACAGGUUAAUAUUCCUGUACUUGGUGUUACUGCGAAGGGGGGACGGAGAAGGCUAUGUUGGCCGGGCGACGGUUGUCCCGGUUUAAGCGUGUAGGCUGGUUUUCCAGGCAAAUCCGGAAAAUCAAGGCUGAGGCGUGAUGACGAGGCACUACGGUGCUGAAGCAACAAAUGCCCUGCUUCCAGGAAAAGCCUCUAAGCAUCAGGUAACAUCAAAUCGUACCCCAAACCGACACAGGUGGUCAGGUAGAGAAUACCAAGGCGCUUGAGAGAACUCGGGUGAAGGAACUAGGCAAAAUGGUGCCGUAACUUCGGGAGAAGGCACGCUGAUAUGUAGGUGAGGUCCCUCGCGGAUGGAGCUGAAAUCAGUCGAAGAUACCAGCUGGCUGCAACUGUUUAUUAAAAACACAGCACUGUGCAAACACGAAAGUGGACGUAUACGGUGUGACGCCUGCCCGGUGCCGGAAGGUUAAUUGAUGGGGUCAGCGCAAGCGAAGCUCUUGAUCGAAGCCCCGGUAAACGGCGGCCGUAACUAUAACGGUCCUAAGGUAGCGAAAUUCCUUGUCGGGUAAGUUCCGACCUGCACGAAUGGCGUAAUGAUGGCCAGGCUGUCUCCACCCGAGACUCAGUGAAAUUGAACUCGCUGUGAAGAUGCAGUGUACCCGCGGCAAGACGGAAAGACCCCGUGAACCUUUACUAUAGCUUGACACUGAACAUUGAGCCUUGAUGUGUAGGAUAGGUGGGAGGCUUUGAAGUGUGGACGCCAGUCUGCAUGGAGCCGACCUUGAAAUACCACCCUUUAAUGUUUGAUGUUCUAACGUUGACCCGUAAUCCGGGUUGCGGACAGUGUCUGGUGGGUAGUUUGACUGGGGCGGUCUCCUCCUAAAGAGUAACGGAGGAGCACGAAGGUUGGCUAAUCCUGGUCGGACAUCAGGAGGUUAGUGCAAUGGCAUAAGCCAGCUUGACUGCGAGCGUGACGGCGCGAGCAGGUGCGAAAGCAGGUCAUAGUGAUCCGGUGGUUCUGAAUGGAAGGGCCAUCGCUCAACGGAUAAAAGGUACUCCGGGGAUAACAGGCUGAUACCGCCCAAGAGUUCAUAUCGACGGCGGUGUUUGGCACCUCGAUGUCGGCUCAUCACAUCCUGGGGCUGAAGUAGGUCCCAAGGGUAUGGCUGUUCGCCAUUUAAAGUGGUACGCGAGCUGGGUUUAGAACGUCGUGAGACAGUUCGGUCCCUAUCUGCCGUGGGCGCUGGAGAACUGAGGGGGGCUGCUCCUAGUACGAGAGGACCGGAGUGGACGCAUCACUGGUGUUCGGGUUGUCAUGCCAAUGGCACUGCCCGGUAGCUAAAUGCGGAAGAGAUAAGUGCUGAAAGCAUCUAAGCACGAAACUUGCCCCGAGAUGAGUUCUCCCUGACUCCUUGAGAGUCCUGAAGGAACGUUGAAGACGACGACGUUGAUAGGCCGGGUGUGUAAGCGCAGCGAUGCGUUGAGCUAACCGGUACUAAUGAACCGUGAGGCUUAACCUU
rnacentral:rRNA from 1 species